CUAUCCAUCCUGAGUUUCACUGGUUCUUCUUGCUCUGCCUUUGGAUGUCAUCGUCUCUAUGAAUGUAGGUUGCAGUAACGGAGUAAUGCCACUAAUUGCGACAUACACUGACCGAUCACUCGACGAGCAAAUGAGAAAAUCUUGAUCAGAGGAAAAUUGAGAGAUGAUACCAAUUAGGCUUUUGCAGCAUCGCUUGGUAUGUUUGAGCUGAAAUUCCACGGCAAUUCGGAGCCGGAGAUCAGGGAUGAACAACACUGCUUGGCGGUGAUUCAUGAGAACUGUGAUUUGAUUAGGGGAGGGGCGAUCAAAUGAAGAAGGCAUCUCCCAUUAAACUGCGUAAGCCAUCUAAAUGUAGUAUUUUGCCUUGGGAUUAAGCUGUCUAUUGACAGAGAAAAAUGAAUGGAAAACUGAAACUCAGAAUCAGCUUAAAAUACAUCACAGAAGAAUCCCCAUUAUACUUGUAUCAUCAACGAUAUAUAUGCACUUAGAAUCAAUAUAUGAAUAAAAGAAUAAUUCAAAUACUAA